AUUGAACGCUGGCGGCAGGCCUAACACAUGCAAGUCGGGCGAGUGGCGGACGGGUGAGUAAUGGAUGGGGAUCUGCCUGAUGGAGGGGGAUAACUACUGGAAACGGUAGCUAAUACCGCAUACCAUCAGAUGAACCCAUAUGGGAUUAGGUUGUAGGUAAGGUAACGGCUUACCUCGACGACGAUCCCUAGCUGGUCUGAGAGGAGGAAAAGCCACACGGGGACUGAGAUACGGCACAGACUCCUACGGGAGGCAGCAGUGGGGAAUAUUGCACAAUGGGGGAAAGCUUGAUGCCGCCAUGCCGCGUGUAUGAAGAAGGCCUUAGGGUUGUAAAGUACUUUCGGUCGAGAGGCGUUACCGACAGAAGAGGCACCGGCUAACUCCGUGCCAGCAGGCGCGGUAAUAC
rnacentral:rRNA from 1 species